GGCGUGCUGCAUGGUUACAGAGACCAGUGCUCAGUACAGGAACAGGGUAUCUGAGGACAUCAGGAGGACAGUGAAAGCCUUGUCAUACAGCCUGAAGUCUCACAGCAAGUGUCUAUUAAUAAGCCAUGCCUACGCUUCCUCCAGCUGGAGCCAGAGACAAAGGAAAGAAUCAUUGGUAACGAGCUAUUUAUGGAGAAAUUCAUCUUGAUAUUUGCAUCACUAGUACAAGACAAGGCAAUGCCACAGUUUUCCUACCAUGACUAAGGACGGCACUUGGAGGAGGUUGGGAGCCUCGAGGUCCUGCGGGUGUUUAAUGCCCGAUGUAAGCCCAGUUGAGAAAUGGGAGGAGAGACAGCGAAGAGACAGAGCAACGCAGUUCUCGGGGUUUGUGCAUAGCAAGCUGCUGCGCGCAGGAGACGGUUGCCAGGCUGGUACCCGGUCGAGGCAGCCGAAAUCAGCUCACUGCCUGGAUGCAAUCACCAUGUCGAUGCAGCAGCAGCACAGAUGGACCGCCAGGAACUUUCUCCCCAGCGUCCUAAUAGGCAGCGAGUGCUUGUUUAAAACAAAGCCUGACAAAUGGCAUCUUGGGGGCGUCAAGUCCUGGAGCACUGUCUUCCGAAAAGUAUGAAAAGGCACCAGAGGGGAGCCUGGUACAGCCUCCCAGAUGACAGUAAUUAAAGGCUUUGCACUCACGCGCUAGGAGCUGCUCCUCUUGCAAAUUGGCCUUGAUUGAAGAGGAAGAGAAUGAUUAGGCUGAAGGGGAGUGAUGGGGGUGGCAGGCAAAAACACAGAGACCUGUGAGCACCAAAGAUGUCCCAGCUCUGGCUGAGGUCCCUCAUGGAGCAGUUUGCCUUGAAGUACUCGGGGAAGUCACCGCAACGUGAGCACAGAUGCUACCUCCAAACCCAGCCAGCUGUUUCACAGUGCCGGGCCAAGGAACUGGUCCAAAAUUCAACUGAGAGCCUCCGGCCCCCAAGUCCGGAGCAUUAACAGUCAGGAAUCCCAAACAAACCUGCCUCAGGCAAUAACAUUUGAGGCACUGACAAACACCCCCCUCUGUUGUCCAUGCGAAAAAGGAGUCAGGUCAUCCUUUGCACAGCCCUGCAACUGCAGCCUUGCUUGGUGCAGGGUUUCUUCUGAAGAUGUGAUAGUUUUGUCCUGCAAGAGGAGCUGCAUGGGUUUUGCAAUCUAGUCAGGUAAAUUGGUGCCUGAAUGGAUCGUUAGAGUCCAGGAUGAUGUGGGUGACACAUGGGAGCCAACGUCCCCCUGCCAGCUGGAGACGGGGUCCAUCCGCUUCGAGGCAGUAACGUCUCAGGUCCAGACAGGCACCCAGCAGUGGCAUCCUGGCAGGUGACUUGAGAUCUCCAUCAAACAGCAAGAUAGUGAAGGUGUCCAGAGACUUUCCCUACACAAGACAAUCGCAGACUCUGAACUCUCAAUCCUCAUUUGCAGACUCUGAGCUCCUGAGGUUGAUUUUACUACUUCAAUAAUAGGGAAAAUUAUGUGGAUUGGUGGCAGAAGCAAGUUAUAUGAUGAGUAUGGAGAAAUACAGCUCCAGAGCCAGGUUACUGCUUGAGACAAGGCUGCAGCAGGGAACAGCACCCGGCACUCCCAGCAGACACAGCUGCAGUGAAAUAACCCAAGAGGACCUGGUUAAAAUUAAGUUAAUUAACUGACCAGCUGUGGCAUGGCUGUUUCCUCUGUGUGCCCUGGCUCUUAGUCCUCCUCUCCAAGGGGAGAAAGUGCUGUUGAACCCAUUUAUUGCCAAUGCUGGUUCUCCGAAGCAGAGGUUGUAACUCUCGGUGUCCUAUCAGCUCUGAGAUACUCAUUGCAGGUGCCUGAGCCUCACCUAGGACUGAGGACUUUUAGACCUUGGGACAAUAUUUUCUAGAUGCAGAGACUUGAGAGAAGGAGAUAUUCUGGAGAGUUUCUGUGUUAGUGUUUGCAGAGGGAUGGUGUUGCCUCCCUUCCACCUGCUGAGAGCCCAGGAUGGGGACGUGGGGCUGGGCGGCACCUGCAAGGGGAGGGCGGGCUGGGUGCACAAUGUUCUUCAAACUCCUUAAAAAAAAAUAUGUAAACCCAGAUCUUCACUUUCCUUUUGUUGCAUGCAGCAGGUCAGGUCCUGCUCUGGAAGUCACCGAGUCGUGGAUCAGCCACAUAGCUGAUGGAAAUGCUGCUGCUGGCCUGUGGAAGGGUUUUUAGGAUUUUUUUUUUUUUUUUUUCAGUCAACCCAUUCAGGAAAGAAUAAGCUUUCAUUUUCUGAGCUAUCACUUUCUGCAGCAUGUGUCAAGCUAACAAUGGCUGGGUAUUCCUCCAAGGCUGUAAAAUAAGCUCGUUCAUCCUUUCUCCCUAUUUGCUGUAGGGACAACAAAACAAAACAAAAAGAAAUAAAAGAAAAAUCUACUGAACUACUCUUUGCUUUCCAGACGGAGCCUGUGGUAUGGCACCAGCAGCCAAGCACUGCUCUGGGUCAAACAUGAAGUUGAUGUGCCGUUUGUGUUCGCUCAGCCCCACGGAUACAGAGCGAGGGAGAAGGCAGGAAUGUCAGUGGGAGCCUCUUGUGGGCUCCUCCUCACCAAGGGGAGCCUCCCCCGCCUGCCUUUGCUGGAGCUCUGUAAUUUCCAGCAGGAUCAUGUUAACCACAGACCGUGCAGGGAGCAGGGUUGGGGUUUCAGUCCGUGGCCACCUUCCCAUUGAGUCAGGGCUGAAUCACCACCCCGUGCCGAGCACAAAGGGCCACGGUGCUGCUGAAG